CGUUCUUGAUUUAAGCUUAAAAAUUCUUAAAAAGUCAAUUUUUGCUGAGAGCGAGAGCAAUCUCUCUCUCGUUUGAUCUCUCUCGUAGUCUUCGGUAUUCUUGGGAACUCCAAGUAUUUGGAGAGGCAUGCGAAAGAAAGAGAUAGCAAGUUCAAUAGUGCGCAGUUAUCUUAAAUUUUCGGUAAAAUGUACCAUGCCAUGCUCGGUGCGUACAUUUUAGCAAUUGAGUCGAGAACGUCGAGAGAGCAACAGUGAAAAGUUUCAACAGUGAACGUGAAAGUGAAAAUGUGUAAAACUCCGGAUAGGUUGCUAAACCUGCUGAAAGAGUUUCAACUUGAAAAAGUGCACGACUAUCUAAUCGAUUGAAAUUGACUUUCAAAUGCUCUAUCCUGGCAAAGGUCAUUUGCUUUUGUCGAAGUGGGAAGAAUUCAAAGUCAACAUUUUGACUCAUUACUCAACCCACCUUCGUAACGACUUUUAUAAACAACAACUGGCAGUAGCAAAGUCGUCUACAAAUAAAGAUCUCCAAGACUUCCUUGUAUCGAUAUUAUUAAAAAAACUGACGAUUGCGGAUUCCCAGGAGUCUUUCGUACUUCAAAUAGAGACCCUGAACAAUAUACGCCCUAAGAUAGACGAACUAGUGAAUAAGUUCUAUUUAAAAAAAGAAUCCUUGCAGCCAUUUCUUAGCCUAUAACUAAACUAAAAAAUAAAACCAUUUCAAAAUAAAAUGUAUAUACCAAAAA